UACGUAGGGUGCGAGCGUUUGUCCGGAAUUAUUGGGCGUAAAGAGCUCGUAGGUGGUUUGUCGCGUUGUUCGUGAAAACUCACAGCUCAACUGUGGGCGUGCGGGCGAUACGGGCAGACUGGAGUACUGCAGGGGAGACUGGAAUUCCUGGUGUAGCGGUGGAAUGCGCAGAUAUCAGGAGGAACACCGGUGGCGAAGGCGGGUCUCUGGGCAGUAACUGACGCUGGAGGAGCGAAAGCGUGGGGAGCGAACAGG
rnacentral:rRNA from 1 species